AUUGAACGCUGGCGGCAGGCCUAAUACAUGCAAGUCGAACGAGUGGCGGACGGGUGAGUCAUGUCUGGGACACUGCCUGAUGGAGGGGGAUAACUCCUGGAAACGGUGGCUAAUACCGCAUACCAUCAGCUUUGCCCAGAUUGGAUUAGCUUGUUGGUGGGGUAACGGCUCACCAAGGCGACGAUCCCUAGCUGGUCUGAGAGGAUGACCGGCCACACUGGAACUGAGACACGGUCCAGACUCCUACGGGAGGCAGCAGUGGGGAAUAUUGCACAAUGGGCGCAAGCCUGAUGCAGCCAUGCCGCGUGUAUGAUGAAGGCCUUCGGGUUGUAAAGUACUUUCAGCAGGGAGGCGUUACCCGAAGAAGAAGCACCGGCUAACUACGUGCCAGCAGCCGCGGUAAUAC
rnacentral:rRNA from 1 species